GCCGAGGUGUCCUAGCCUGGUAGGGAGAUGGAUUGCUAAUCCAUUGUGCUUCCGCACGCGCGGGUUCAAAUCCCGUCCUCGGCACCA
rnacentral:tRNA from 1 species